CAUGCAAGUCGAACGAGAAAGUGGAGCAAUCCAUGAGUAAAGUGGCGACCGGGUGAGUAACACGUGACUAACCUACCUCCGAAUGGGGAAUAACUCCGGGAAACCGGGGCUAAUACCGCAUAACACCGCAAGGUCAAAGCAGCAAUGCGUUUGGAGAGGGGGUCGCGGCUGAUUAGCUAGUUGGCGGGGUAACGGCCCACCAAGGCGAAGAUCGGUAUCCGGCCUGAGAGGGCGCACGGACACACUGGAACUGAAACACGGUCCAGACUCCUACGGGAGGCAGCAGUGGGGAAUUUUGGAGCAAUGGGGGAAACCCUGACGCAGCAACGCCGCGUGGAGGAUGAAGCCCCUUGGGGCGUAAACCACUGUCGAAGGGGACGAUACUGACGGUUAUCCUUGGAGGAAGCCACCGCGCUAUGUAGCGUGUCUCGCAGUCCGCGGAUCAUACAUC
rnacentral:rRNA from 1 species